CAUGUCCUUUUGAUUAUAAUUUAAGGUCUGAUCUGCUCAAUGAUUAAUUAAAUUGCCGCAGUAUUUUAACUGUGCAAAGGUAGCAUAAUAAUUAGUUUCUUAAUUAGAAACUGGAAUGAAUGAUUGGACGAGAAAAUUACUGUCUCUUUUUUAAAUUUUUUGAAUUUUAUUUUUAAGUCAAAAAGCUUAAAUUUGUAUAAAAGACGAGAAGACCCUAUAGAGUUUAAUAUUUAAAAAUAAUUGGUUAUUAGAAUACUUUUUUAUUAAUAUUUAUUUAGUUGGGGUGACUUAAAGAUAAAAAUAAUUCUUUAAUUAGAAAAUUGGUGAUUUCUAAAUUUAAAAUCUAUAGUUUAUAAAACUAAAAUAAAUUACCUUAGGGAUAACAGCGUAAUUUUACUUAAAAGUUCUUAUUAAAAGUAAAGUUUGCGACCUCGAUGUUGGAUUAAAAUUAAUUUUUGGUGCAAUAACUUAAAAAUUAGGUCUGUUCGACCUUUAAAAUUUUACAUGAUCUGAGUUUAAACCGGUGUAAACCAGGUUGGAUUCUAUCUUUAGAAAAUUAUUAUAUUUUAGUACGAAAGGACCAAUUAUAAAUUAAAUUAAUUG
rnacentral:rRNA from 1 species